rnacentral:misc_RNA from 1 species
UUUUCAUUUUCUCCCUAUAGGUACGUCUGUUUAUCCAUUGUUUACGUAGGAAUGUAACACAAUAGUUCUACACACUUACAGAUUUAUAAGAAUUCUAUAUUUUUCUAGAAGUACGUAAACAAGCCAGCGGUAUAGGAGACCUGUUGUUUACCGACGUUUCAGGACGUCUGCAGUAUACUACAGGCCACAGGCACAUAUCGUCGGAGGAUUGUAGUCAUCGCUCUCACUCUGAGCGUGAACACGGAGAGAAGUGAAUGUGUUGCUCUGGUUCCUAUGGUGGAUUAUGACUGUGUUGAUUCCUACGUGUGUACAGUACAGGGAUAUAGACUGCACAAGGAUUUAUCUUCAUAAACCAAGAUCGUUAACAUCACCAGCCACGAUCAACAAGUGCCAGAUUGGUUUUCACGUUUUGUUCUCAUCUUAACCACGUGACCUGGAAUCAUACCAAGAUGUGGCGUAAUAAGCGGGAAAACAUUCCUGUGACCGCGAUAGUCAGCUCCUCGCGCCAUACUCGUUUGUAAAGGGAGUAUAUUUUCGUAUUUUGUGGAACCCUGUUUGAGUAACACAUGUGUGUGUAUUGUGUCAAAGCUCAGAAUCUAAAGUGCAGGAGCAUUUAAUUUAUCUUAAGUCGACCAGGAUACUGCAACAUUUAUUAGGAGUGGUUGUUUUUCGUGACGUCACACUUCCUUUACAAUAGGAAAUCAAAUUAGUGCAUAAACCACGUGGAGGAUUUUUAUAUAUCUGAAGGAUAACCACAGUUUUAUCCCCACACAUCAUUAAAUUGUGAAAUAUGAAAUUACCAUGUGUAUUGAGAAUUGUAAAGUGUAUUCUUUGGAAUAAACACACUAAUUAACAUGUCUGAGAAGGAUGCAUUUCAAAUUUAAAGAUGGUCUAUUUGUAAUCUGAAGGCAGAUCUACAAAAGGUUGUGUGCGUACAACUAUUUUACAGUAAACUUUUCUAUUUUGAGGUUUUUAUCGAUGGCACAUACUGCAACAAUGCCGACUAAAAAUGACGUCAUGUGCGAUUCGUUUGAGCGGGAAAAUCCCUACUGUACGACAGAGGACAUUAUAAGGUUACGGAACAGUGGUCAGGUCAAGGAAGGAAUUAAACAUUUAAAGGAAAAAUAUGAUUCUGUGGCUAAAUUCGGGCCUCAAACAACAUCGAAUGGAACCGCAACAGAAGACCAGUUGGUUAAAAGGCGGGAAAACCCUACCAUUGAAGUAUCCGAACCGGCCCAAUCGUCCUCAUCACAGGGCUCGAGCUACCGACCGGUGAGUUUUACAGAAGGCGUCACGGAACAGGAUAUUCUACAAGUGGAUACGUUCUUCAAAAGUCAUAAAACUGAUGUGAUUGUUUGCAAUUGUCUUGCCAAUUUAUAUUUCGGAAAAGUCAUGGGUGGAAAAGAUCAUUGGAAAUUCGCCAUGACCGGAAUUCCAGUGCUUGUACUUGAUACUGGUGAGCACCACCGGAAGCGGAGAUUACAGAUUGUGCUGUCCGAAAAAGGCAGCGGAUUUAUUUUGUGGAAAAAUAAGAUAGACCAUUUGUCGAAUUAUUCCGCGUCUCAUAUUAACUUCCACACUCUCCAUCUUAUGACCGACCAUACACGGCUGGCGGGACUCAGUUUCGAUGACGGAAGCGCGGCAACGGAAUUCUUUAACGCGCUCUCAAAGCUGACGUCUGAUCCGAAUGACGAACUUUUCAAUAUCAGCAAGUCAAAGAAAAAGAAGAAGUCGCAAAAAAGUAAGCAAAAGUUUAAAGCUCCAAAGAAAACUGAGAUUUCACAGCCGUGCUGCUUCGUACAUGUGACAAAGCUUGAGAAACCAUUGAACGAACUUUCGUUGGUUUCCGGCCCGAUGGGUUUCGAACAUUCUUCGAAAUCCCCCGAAGAUGAUCGAGAUGAUAAUGAAAUGUCUAGUCGAGUUGGUAGCAAACUAACGCUGACGAGUGAGAGUACAAGUUCCGGUAUAUCGGAGGACAUCCGGUCAAAUGACCAAUGACACUCCGUGUAACAUUGUUAAUUGAAUGUUUGAAAUAGACGUCUGUUAUUGGAGUUAACAUGUUUCUGGUGCUAAUUUUAGUCGCGUCACUGCGAUGAUUGCUGCGUAUAGUCCAAAACGAAGAACGUUUCAGUGACUUAUGCUAAUGAUUGGCGGUUAUAAACUUAGAUAUUUUCCCAUUUUCCCUAUAAAUAACAGCCCAGUUUUGAACAAGCCUUGUACAUGCCACUCUUUGAUAGACUGUUAUGGCCAAAAGUCAUACCAUGUGUACAAUACUUAUAUGAUCACAUAAACAAUGCAAUAUUACUGCAAAUCUCUUAUCUUUGGUGAGCAAUUAAAUUUCGGGGGAAAAGGAAGAGCACACAUUAGUUUGUAUAAAUGUAAUUAAAAGAUAUCAAGUAAUAUAAUCAUAACAACGUACUUAAAUUGAAACCAAACAUCACUGCGUAGAUAGUUUAUCAAGUUAAUACGAUAUGUUCAUGUAACAAUGAAAAUAAAUGACUCGUGGAAAGUAAAAGAUUUGCAGUAAGUUACCUGAUAUAAUACUGAUAUUAAUACAUAUUCAGCUUUCGCAUUUCAGCGUUAUUUUCUGUAAUCAUUAAUGCAUGUGUAGCGAAGUUGGUCUGGGUCGAUCGCCGGUGACAAGUGGAUUAGUUGGUUUGUAGAACGUCUGGGCGUUGCUUUUUCCCUUCCCCUUUCCAAUUUUGCGUCUCCCUAAAUAUACCCAUGGAUUGGUACAGAGUCACGUGCUUCUUCGGAGUCAAAUACGUUGCUGAGAGAGGAAGAAAUUUAGCGGAACCGACUGGGUCGAUCAAAUGCCUAUACAGUUUCCGUCUAAAGUUUGGAGGUUCCGCAUAUGAAUCCCAGUCUGGCCUUUUUUCCCUUUGCUUUGAUUUAUGAAUGGAAGUGGAAGGAAAACAUGUAGUUAUUGAGGGAGGCACUAAAAAUUUGUAUUAAUCUGAUUAAAACCAGAUAUUUUAUUCCACUCCGAUACUCUACUUUCCAGUCAAAGGGGCGUUGUGAGUCGGGAGUGGAAUAAACUACAUGGUUUCAGUCAGAUUGUGUCGCUAUUGAGUUAACUACUAUAUGUAUAAUAACUCACUGACGACAUACUGUCUCAGGCGGUUACAAUAAGAAAAACAUUAAACGUAGUUUCAGGAAGUUGUAGUAAAAAACAAAUUAACUAUGUCCUCACAAACAUUUCCUUAACAAGUAGGAAUCGGAUAAGAACUGACCUCGUACUUUUACUGGGAACAUUGAAACUCUGCUUUGGCUUGUAAAAUUCCUCUGCAAUAAAUAUUGAAUUUAACAGACAUGUCUAAUUGAAUCUGUGCCAAAAUAGAAUUUUCUUCAGAAAAAAAUGGGGCUACUUGGAAAACCAAGAGCUGUUUGUCUGUGAUGGUGCACAGGGUAUAGGGGCGUGCUUGUACUCGCGUUCCCUCAGGUAGUCGUAACGGGGAACCAUCAAAAAUCAACAUACCUGCAUAUACAUCAUACAUACCUAUAUAUACCUGCAUAGUCACUUACUCGUCUGUAUCAAAGGAUGUUUAAUGUGAAAGGGUCUUUCAGAAAGUAACAUCGUUUGUUGUAGAAAACUUAAAAGGUAACUUUAAUUAAGAUAUUUGGUAUACAAGAUAUCAGAUUUGAUAAAAAAAAAAAGAUCUAGUGGCUAUUCGAUCGGAAAUGAUUUACUUAUAUCAAAGACGUGCACUUGUUCCGUAUGUGUAUAAUUCUUUGGUACGUGUUUUACCUAUUACACGGAGAAGUGGAUUGGAGAUGCGCGAGUAUGUAUACAAAGCUGUUUGAUAGCUGUUUGAACCCGAAGUAUGUAGUCUAAACAAAGUUACGGCUAAACCUUAAAAUAGUGGGUAUGGAAGUCUGGGAAGUGUAACUGCCGGGACAUGCUCAAAACCCGAUCAUGUACGGAAUGGAACAGAAUUUCCGGAAACAUUGAUUUUGGCUCACAGACGCUUUUUGUUUAGAAAGCUGCAAAUGAAAUGCAUUAAGGACGGUUUACGCAGACAGUAAGCAUAGCCUACGUCCUCUUUAGACCUGAUAUACUCGCCACUAUACAGGAACUGAAACCUAGGACUUACAAACAAAUAAUUAGAUGUUGAUCUCCUUAAAAAAGAAGUUAUACAGAGCAACAAAGUCAUAGAGCCCAGACACGUUAAUGAAACUAUAAUGAGUACAAAUCGAAUAGUUAUACGUUCUUAUGACAAGUGUACUAUAAUGCUUUAGCUCAAAUUUUCCUGGUAUUUCAAUAAAAGUACAAUACAAUUGUAUCGCUGACUUCGUGUCCUAACAAAAAAGAUAUUGCUUUUGACUCACAAUAAGGAAACUUCAGAGUUACUGUAACGCCACAAGGAACAAUGUCCAUUGUUCGUUAUUUUUUCACACCAAAUUUUGAUUCGUCGGUUCAGUGUGAAAAUAGCAAAUUGUACCACCGAAAUACCAAACUUUUAUUUUCAGUUUGAAACCGAAUAUAAAUGUAGUAAUCGCUACGUCCUACCUUAGUUCGGUAAAGCACGUGCUGUGUAUUGUUCUGAGAUGGUAUGUUUAUAAUGUUAAGUAAUCAGUGGCAUUCAAUCCUACAACAGGAUGCAGGAAGAACUGACUUCAUUGAUCAUAACUGUUUUGUGACGAGCCACACACGAACAGUCGGUAGCAGGCAUUCCUAUUUUACACAGCAAGACACUCUUGUUGUCGUUGUAAAAACAUACCGAAUCCAACCCUAACCCUGGUAGUUUUGACAUGCUCUUUAGUUUUAUUUAAUUAUUUAAUGCCGUUUGCAUGUCUUCAGACGUCAUAUGGCAUUGAAAAGAAUACCUCUAGAGGUUAUAAAACAUUGGGUUGGUAAACUGAUUAUUUAAAGAGCACACACAGUUAUGACCGGUAAAGAAUUAUUACAUCUGGAGAAAAGUAGAAAAAAGGGAACAUGGCGUGGAACAUCUCAAUGGUAAACAAAUCUAGGAUGUUAUUCCGAGAUUUGAACCAAGAUUGGACGAGACAGGAACACUGGCAGAGAAUAUUGAUGUUUGCCUAUCUCAGAUGUCUAAUCGUAAAAGCUUCUCAAUCUGGGGCUGCAUUGUGCAACUACAUUGGCAGUUUUCUGUUUCACGAUUCCCCUGAGAAAAAAUCAACGGGUAAGAAAUCCGUUUCUCAACCGUUCGGAUGUGCCUAAGCUCUAAAUUAAUGUGCAGACCGCGCCAACAUUCCUGAAACUAAUUAAAUGUCGGUUUUGUGAUUCAUUCCAUGUUUUUAAUUGAACAAUUUGAGUGCCUUGGAGAAAUCGUCAACCGCUUCAGUUUCUGUCAUUCUCAAAUGACCUUGAAAAUUGUAAUUGAUUUGAUGGAUACUUUCAAAAUGAUCAUUUGAACUCGUCAAUGACGUCAGUCGUACGUCUCUAUAAGGUGAUUUAUACUUUUACAUAAAAAUGCAAGGUCGUUUGCAAAAUAUAUUUUUUUGAAUAAUAAACGCAUGUUUUAACUACAAUUGCCCUUUCCAGGCCAUCCGCUAAACGGCAGAGGUAUUAGCUAAUUAACACAUUCAUCCGCGAUAAAGUACCAUAACGGAAGCUUAAAAUUACCAGUUGAUUAGUUUUACGAACAUUCAGUUUCAAUCCAAUUAGAAAAGUCCCUAUUUUAUUCUAAAUAUUUAAAACAAAUUUGGUUACAGUGCUGUUGACACAGCAGUGAUUUUUUUUAUCCGCAAACUUAUCAUCUCGAAAAAAAUCCCUACUCAUUUGAUAAUGACAUAGACACUUGUGAUAGAAAAAAGCUCCACAGCUCGUUUAAACAUUGAUUAUCACUUUUUUUCGUCAAAGUAAUUUUCACAUUUCAAAAAGAGAUGAAAAAAACGAAAACAACCGAUUUGAAUUAUAUAAACAUGCUACAUGUAUCUACAAUAAAGACGAUCUGUGAGUCACACAGAACAUUGGUUAACAGCGAACUAUUUAUAAAAUAACGAAAGGAACCAACUACAACAACGUCCCAGAAUAAUAAACCCUUGUACUUCCGGUUUCAAGAUUGUCUCAAUAAGGUUACUGUUAAAUAACUCCAGUGUUUUGUGAUUGAGAAAUAUAUGCACAAUAAGCUGAUAUCAUACCGUAAACGGUUAACGACCAUAACGUUCGAACUGUAGCAUUAACUCUGCCGACUCUACUUUCAGUUGAAAAGCACGAGAGAGAAUAUUUGUUUACAAAUGGCAUUUACAUCUGUGCUCCUUGAAUUAUUGAUUUAAAGUUGUUCUGGGUCAUACAAAUGAGCUAACCUCCCAUAGAACUUAAACAUGGUACGAGAACAGAGUGCGUGUACGCUGUUAGGGCAAGUAAAACAUUCAUGUGAAGAUGGUCGUAGUACAUCCCCCAUCAAUAAUUCAUGAACAGUUUUCUUAUUUCUUAGUGACAUCAUCCCCGUCUCACACAGUUUCCCACAGUAAUUGUUUAAUAACCGCACAGUAAACAGGGAUGAUUGUAAACAGGAAAUGUUCCAGUCUCUCCCUAAAACCAGGGUAGUCUCCUAUACAUCUGUGUUUACUGUCACUCACAGACUCGCAGAUGUAGUGAUCUAAAGAAAUCCAUCACGUAUGUCUAGUAAGUUAUCCUUGGUAUUAUCUAGUGACAUUUAUCUUCAUGAAAUGAUUGAAUUUGCAUUCCAACACUCCGAUAUAUUACCGUAAUUAACACACAAAACUUUAUUUAUAAACUCGAAAUACUUUCCAGAUGAGUCAAUUACACGUGAUUCCCAGAAGCCGUGAGCAGUGGUCAUAUUUCAUUUUUCUAACCGAUUCCCUAUCUUGCCACUUUCAGUUGGAUAACGAGGCUCACCUGUUUUAAGUUUAUAUUUUUAUGUUAAAACGGGGAGGGAGCAUACCAAACGUAUCGACUGAAACACCUGUUCUACACCGUAUGAAUGAUUUAAUGGGGGUUUCUGUAUAAGGUGUUUGUAGUUUACACCGUAUGAAUGAUUUAAUGGGGGUUUCUGUAUAAGGUGUUUGUAGUUUACACCGUAUGAAUGAUUUAAUGGGGGUUUCUGUAUAAGGUGUUUGUAGUUUACACCGUAUGAAUGAUUUAAUGGGGGUUUCUGUAUAAGGUGGUUGUAGUUUAAUUGGAACAAAGAAACAGAUCAAUAUUUGAAUCAAAAACUGAACAGUUAUCUCUUCAUCGAGUGCGCAGAAUAAAAUCUUUUUGUGACACGAAGCAGUUCGUCAGUAGGGAACAAAAAUCAAUUCAUUUUAUAGACGGAACGUUUUCCUAAGCUAUAGUGAUAUCUCAUUGGACACAAUGAUAUUAACAUCACUGUUCAGAUUCCAAUUAAAUAAGAUGAACACAAAUGGAUAUGUUUUCGUUUACUGCUACAACACCGAGGCACGUAGGACUAAAAUAGAAACAUCACGGGCGUUACUAAUAUAUAUAAGUGCAAGCAGAUCAAUAACAAGAAAAACAUUCUUGAAUUUGUGCUCAUUUCUUUUUCAUAAAAACCCAGAAUGUCGAAUUUCAAUCAAUUUUAUCAGCAGUGUUUUUCCCCCAAUCAUCGCCCGACGAGGUUUCGGAAUACUCUGUUUGUAAGAUACAUUAUUGUAUACAAACUUUUCCAAUAAAAUGUUUCCAAAAUUGUGAUAAGGAAAGAUAUAUUUGUACUGAGAAUUGAAAUCCCCCUUUUUCCUGACAGAAAUGAGCCUAUUUUACUGUUCCUACAUGUAUACUACCACGGACCUAGUUUCCGUGUAAUACUGAUGUCUAAGGAACGGUUAUCGAGGGGCUGAUGACUAAACGGUUCAUUAGGUCACGGCACGGCACGGCUCCACAAGUCCAGAUCGAUAUUUACAAUGCAGACAGAACGCCACCAGUUUUAUACAUCUCAUUAUACGCUACUGCAGUGGUCAGUGAUCAUGAGGGUUGCUGAUGUUGAGGUGUACAGCGCCAUGACGAUUGGAUGAGAGAGUAUUUUAUAAGUGAAAAGUGUGUCGUGCUAAUGGGUGCCUUGUAAAAGUAUAAUUAUUUCCAGUCAUAUUUGUUCAAAGUUUAAACGAUGAUUUAAAUCUUGAUUUACGAGUUUACUGGAAGCGUAUCAUAUUUGUCUCCCUUUCAAGAACUGUUAACAGGUGUGUCAGAGUUAUCUUUCUUGUGUAAAGCCCCGCUGCAUUGCCAAUAGUUAAGUUUUAAAUCAUUUUAGCUUGUAUAUGUUGCUAUGCAAUUAUCAUCUGCGAAUUAAAAUUGUUUAUCUAUUAAAA